rnacentral:rRNA from 1 species
UACGUAGGGUGCAAGCGUUGUCCGGAAUUAUUGGGCGUAAAGAGCUCGUAGGCGGCUUGUCGCGUCGGCUGUGAAAACCUGGGGCUCAACCCCGGCCUGCAGCCGAUACGGGCAAGCUAGAAUUCGGUAGGGGAGACUGGAAUUCCUGGUGUAGCGGUGAAAUGCGCAGAUAUCAGGAGGAACACCGAUGGCGAAGGCAGGUCUCUGGGCCGAUACUGACGCUGAGGAGCGAAAGCGUGGGGAGCGAACAGG